rnacentral:rRNA from 1 species
UUCAAACAGGAAAGGCUUACGUGUGAUACCUAGGCACCCAGACGAGAAAGGGGCGUAGUAAGGAAAUGCUUCGGGAGUUGAAAAAGCGUAGAUCGGAGAUUCCCGAUGGUACCCUUUCGAACUGCUGCUAUCCAUGGGCAGGCAAGAGAACUGGCGAACUGAAACAUCUUAGUAGCCAGAGGAAAAGAAGCAAAGCGAUUCCGUAGUAGCGCGAGCGAAAUGGGAGCAGCCUAACGUGAAAACGGGUUGUGGGAGAGCAUACAAGCGUCGUGCUGCUAGGCCUAGCAGGGAGUGCUGCACCUAGUGGGAGGAGUCAGUAGCCGAACGCACUAGCUUACCCUGACCCGAGUAGCAUGGGCAGUGAUCCCGUGUGAAUCAGCAAGACCACUUGUAAGGCUAAAUCUGGGUGGACGAUAGUGAAGUAGUACCGUGAGGGGAAGGGUGAAAAGAACCCCCAUCGGGGAGUGAAAUAGAACUGAACCGUAACUCCCAAGCAGUGGAGGAGCCCGGGCUCUGACCGCGUGCUGUUGAAGAAUGAGCGGACUCUAGCAGGGCUUGGUUAGGAACCACCGGAGCGUAGCGAAAGCGAGUCUUCAUAGGGCAAUUUAUGCUUAUGGACCCGAACCUGGGUCUAUUCCAUGACCAGGAUGAAGCUUGGUGAAACUAAGUGGAGUCCGAACCGCUGAUGUUGAAGAUAGCGGAAGUUGUGGUUAGGGGUGAAAUGCCUCGAACCCAGAGCUAGCUGGUUUCCCGAAUGCGUUGAGGCGCAGCAGUUGACUGGAAUCUAGGGGUAAAGCACUGUUUCGGUGCGGGCGCGAGAGCGUACCAAAUGAGGCAAACUUGAAUACUAGAUAUACUCAAAUACAGGGGUCAAGGUCGGCCAGUGAGACGAUGGGGGAUAAGCUUCAUCGUCGAGAGGGAAACAGCCCGGAUCACCGCUAAGGCCUAAAUGACCGCUCAGUUGAUAAAGGAGGUAGGGGUGCGAGACAGCCAGGAGGUUUCCUAGAGCACCACCUUGAAGAGUGCGUAAUAGCUCACUGAUCGAGCGCUCUUGCGCCGAAGUGAUACGGGGCUAAGCGAUUGCCGAACUGUGGGAUGUAAAAAGGCAUCGGUAGGAGCGUUCGCCUUAGAGGGAAGCACCCGCGAGAGCGGUGUGGACGAAGGGAGCGAGAAUGUCGGCUUGAGUAACGCAAACAUUGUUGAGAAUCCAAUGCCCCGAAACCUAAGGGUUCCUCCGCAAGGUUCCCACGGAGGGUGAGUCAGGGCCUAAGAUAGCGAAAAGGCGUUCGAUGGACAACAGGUGAUAUUCCUGACUGCCCCUUGUUGCCCGAGGGACGAGGAGGCUAGUAGCCGAAAGAUGGUUAUCGGUUAAGGCGCAGGGCCCUGCUUUUUCAGGGUAAGAAAGGGGUAGAGAAAAUGCCGAGCCAAUGUUCGAGUACAGCGCUACGGCGCUGAAGUACCAUGCAUACUCAGGAAAACUGAUCGACUUCAAAAAAGGUACUGUACCCAAAGCACUGUGGGUAGGUAAAUGCUAGGGGCGAGACAACUCUCUCUAAGGAUCGCAAAAUAGCCCGUAACUCGGAGAUAUUGGUGUCUCAGAAGAGGGUCGCAGUGACCAGGCGGGCGACGUUUAUCAAAAACAGGUCUCGCAAGUCGUAAACCAUGUAUUGGGGCUGACGUGCCCAUGCGGAGGCAAGGAAAUUGGUGACUGAUGACAGGGACCGCGACCGAAGCCCGUGAACGGCGGCCGUAACUAUAACGGUCCUAGUAGCGAAAUCCUUGUCGGGUAGUUCGCCCGCAAAAGCGUAACGAUCUGGGCUGCUCGAGAGAUACUCGGUGAAAAGACAUGUUGUGAGAUGCGAUACCUGCACCUGAAGAAAGACCUAUGAAGUUCACUGUUUCCUGGGAUGGCUUUGGGCCUUCCUGCGCUCUAGGUGAGGGCUAAGAAGCUCCUCCGGGGGGCCGGCGUCGUGAGAUCCACUGGAGAGGAGAAUUCUAACCUUGGUCAGACCUCGGCAAGGGACGUCCAGUGACAUUUUAUGGGCGAGGCCCCCAAGUACCGAGCGUGAAAGCAUCUCGGCCAGCGAAUUGCCUCGAGUGCAAGGCAGAACGAGCUUGACUGAAGACCACCCGUCGAGAGGGACGAAAGUCGGCCUUAGUAUGCGAGGGCGAGUGGGCGUCGCUCACGGAUAAAGUUACUCUAGGGAUAACAGGCUGAUCUUCCCAAGCUCACAUCGACGGCGGUUGCACCUCGAUGUCGGCUCUUCGCCUGGCUGUAUAUGUCCAAGGGUUGGCUGUUACCAUUAAAGCGGUACGUGUGGGUUCAGAAGUCUGAGACAGUCGGUCCAUAUCCGGUGUGGGCGUAGAGCAUUGAAGGACCUUUCCCUAGUACAGAGACGGGGAGGACGCACCUGUGUACCAGUUACGUCCCACGGAAACGCGUAGCCAAUGCGGAGCGGAUAACUGCUGAAAGCAUAAGUAGUAAGCCCACCCAAGCUGAGUGCUCUCCCAUUCCGAUCCCAAGCCUCCGGUAGCACAGCGAACAGGAUGGUUCGCCCUGCGGGGAUGGAGCGACAGAAGUUUUAGAAUCAAGAGAAGGCACGGCGAGACGAGCCGUUAUCAUUACAUAGUGUCAAGUGAAGUGCAGUGAUGUAUGCAGCUGAGCAUCCUAACACGUAGACUUGAACCU